GUCGAGAAUCUUCCGCAAUGCGCGAAAGCGUGACGGAGCGACACCGCGUGAUGGAUGAAGUCCUUCGGGGCGUAAACAUCUUUUAUAAAGGAGGAAAUUUUUGACGUUACUUUAUGAAUAAGGGGCUCCCAAUCUCGUGCCAGCAGGAGCGGUCAUACGAGAGCCUCAAGCGUUAUCCGGAAUCAUUGGGCGUAAAGGGUGCGUAGGUGGUUUGAUUAGUCUCCCGUUAAAACUUCGAGCUUAACUCGAAAAGAGCGGGGGGAACGGUCAAACUAGAGUAUGUGAGAGGUGUGUGGAACUCAUGGUGUAGGGGUGAAAUCCGUUGAUAUCAUGGGGAACACCAAAAGCGAAGGCAGCACACUGGCACAUCACUGACACUGAGGCACGAAACCUAAGGUAGCGAAUGGGAUUAGAAACCCUAGUAGUCC
rnacentral:rRNA from 1 species